rnacentral:rRNA from 1 species
GAUGAACGCUGGCGGCGUGCCUAAUACAUGCAAGUCGAGCGAACAGACGAGGAGCUUGCUCCUCUGACGUUAGCGGCGGACGGGUGAGUAACACGUGGAUAACCUACCUAUAAGACUGGGAUAACUUCGGGAAACCGGAGCUAAUACCGGAUAAUAUAUUGAACCGCAUGGUUCAAUAGUGAAAGACGGUUUUGCUGUCACUUAUAGAUGGAUCCGCGCCGCAUUAGCUAGUUGGUAAGGUAGCGGCUUACCAAGGCAACGAUGCGUAGCCGACCUGAGAGGGUGAUCGGCCACACUGGAACUGAGACACGGUCCAGACUCCUACGGGAGGCAGCAGUAGGGAAUCUUCCGCAAUGGGCGAAAGCCUGACGGAGCAACGCCGCGUGAGUGAUGAAGGUCUUCGGAUCGUAAAACUCUGUUAUUAGGGAAGAACAAAUGUGUAAGUAACUAUGCACGUCUUGACGGUACCUAAUCAGAAAGCCACGGCUAACUACGU